UAUUCUUAUUUUUAUUUUGGGUAAAACGGAUUGCCAUAUGCCAUACCCUGUUGCCCUGUUGCUGGAGGAAUUGCUCAUCACUGGAGUACUGCAUUGAACUAUCAAUUGGUUCUUUCGCAGGUGGCUAUGUCGAGUUUAGUUGCCAUAAUAAUGGUUGGCUCGCGGAUUGCAAAUGCUUUGCCGAAUCCAUGGAUAUCGCUAAGUACGCCAUAUUGUCAUAAUCGUUCUUCUUCUUAAGUUUACCAAUUCCCAGUUCAAUUCAAAAAGGUUUUGUUUAACACACUGUAUUCAAAGAACUGAUGAUGUCACCAGCUUGGUGGAAAGAAUGCUUGCGGCUUAACCUGAUAUGCUGUGGUACUUGAACAGAAUUCAUCAGGGAUCAAAAAUCCACGGAAUAUUAUUUUUACAAUAUAGAAUAAAUGGCAACUGCAGUGUAUUCUUGUCUUGUUAAAUCAAAUCUUUAUUACCCAAGUUAACACAAGAAGUUUUGUAGUGUACAGGGAAACUUGAAUUUAUUUUGGUGGCAGUCGGGUUUUUCUGCAGUUGCAGUUUGAAAUAACCUAAACACGUCUUCGUACAAAUGGACUUCUAGGAAAGGAUUUUGGUUGUACUGGGAACACAUCAAUCAACCAUGCAACAUUCUACUGGAGCUAGUUAAUCUGUAGAGCAUCAUGGAACAGUUUUCAUUUGCAAUAUGCAUGUCCUUUCGCAG